CCCAAAAAAACCUAAAGCUGUGUAUUCGGCUGGGAAAGUGAUGGCGAGUGUUUUUUGGGACAGCCAUGGAAUUAUUUUUAUCGACUAUCUUGAAAAAGGAAAAACUAUAACAGGAGCAUACUACGCAUCAUUAUUGGACAAGCUAAAGGAAGAAAUUUCGAAAAAUCGGCCACAUUUGCAAAAAAAGAAAGUCUUGUUCCACCAAGACAACGCACCAUCUCACACCUCAACAGUCGCCAUGGCGAAAAUCCACGAAUUGCGGUUCGAACUGCUGGACCAUCCACCUUAUUCACCGGAUCUAGCACCAAGCGACUUUUUUUUGUUUCCUCAACUUAAAACUGCGCUCGGCGGCCAGAGAUUUUCGUCAAAUGAGGAGGCAAUCUCUUUCGUGAACUCGUAUUUUGCAGACAAAGACGCCAAGUACUAUUUGGAAGGGUUGCAGAGAUAGGAGCAUCGCUGGGAGAAGUGUGUGGAGUUACAAGGAGACUAUGUAGAAAAACAAAAAAAAAAAAAAUUGAAAAAGUCGCGUGCAUCAUGGUUAGGUCGGUUAUUUAUCGGACAGCCCUCGUAAGAGUGGAUUUAGGUCAUCUAUUGAAAACUAUAGUGGAAUAGCAAAGUUGUUUGCAAUACCUAAACUUUUUGAAGCAAUUAUAACAGACGACGUAACCUACCGGAUCUCUCCACUAAUUUCUUGUUCUCAGCACGGUUUUCGUAAAGGGAAAUCUACAAUAACUAAUUUGCUUGAAUUUGUAUCACAUGUAUCAAGGGGCUUUAGGGAGAAUAAGAAUACUGAUGUUAAAUAAAUUAUUCAAAUGUAAUGUUUAGUUCAAAAUUACUUUAUUUGCCGUCAUCUCGGCUUAGUUGUCAAGUAUAAAGUGAAACUUUUAAUUAUCCCUAACUUAGCUCAUGCCACCAACCCGUAUCGCGUUGUGGCUCCUCUGCUGACGUUUUACUGACCUUGCGCCUCGUGCAUGGUGUUAGUUUACUUUGAUGUCUGGCCAAUGUUCUCACGCAAAAUGUGCUAACUUAGCGACAUGUGCAGAGUGAUAGGCUCUUAUUACGACGGGAAUUAGGGUGUGUCGUUUCCUCGCGAUAACUUUAGGGUGUGUCGUUUUCUCGCGAUAACUCCUCCCCUUCUAAAUGGGGAACGUCCUCGGUCCUCAAAGAAGCGGUUUCAAUUGCAGUUUCAACGGACCUGGCUAUGAUAAUCUCUCCCUUGGUCCUUCUUAUCCUGAGAAGGACGUAAACAGUGAAUGCCAUGAUUAAUAAGACACCAAAGGCUGAGAAACCUGUAACGUGGCCAUAAUGGAUUGAUCGCUGCAGGUGAUUGAUCCUUUGAACAUUCUCUAGAUUCACAUGGUGAAGAUAAGAAGCGCUUAAUAUUUCUGUGUGCUGCGUCAAGUUGAUUGUAGAAGCCCAUGGAGUUUCAGGUUUUAGAGGAAACGUAGAAUUUUCGUUAUAAAAAGUCGUACCAUUAAUCUUUACGUUGUUUUUGAAGACCACGAGGUAUGUUCCGUUGACCGUAAUAGGGACCUCAUUAUUUUCCUCGAUGACAGCCAAUUGGUCAUUGAACACAACAAGGCCGUCACUUAUCGGUGAAAUUGGUGUGAGGUUGUUAAAUGUUGUACUGCAAUUAGCGGUGUUGCGAGUCAGUAGCUGCAGAGCGCAUGAUGUAGUCGGAGAUGGUAAGCAAAACGUUGGUGUUGUGUCGCUGCAGUUCUUUACGGCUACGGUAUGGUUAUAACACUUGGCUAAGAUGGAUUGUUCAAGGUGCAGGAUUUGGUGGACAUGAGCUACUGGUAAAAUAGUAAUUUUCUUACAUCUAAACAUAGGAAUCGGAUAUCUUAUUAAAAAGUAAAUUAUGUUAUUAUACUGUAAUAUCUUAAUUCUAGCUUCUGCCAUAACAUCGGCCAUGGUAAGGUCAGUGAAGUGCUCGUCUCCUGUUAUGAAAUUUAUUUCGUUACUGUCUAAGAGAAUGGGACUUAAGACCCCAAUUUUGGCGAAAGUGACAGCUGUUAUAAUGUUAUUUAAUUCCGUAAUAAUUGCUCUGUUUCUAGCCAGUGUUUAUUUCUCUUUCUUUUGUUAAUUUCAGGAUUUUAUUUACUGUAAUGGUAAGGUUAUUGAUUUCUUUCUGUACUUGAGUGUUUAUGGUAAACUGUCUGUCCUGUGAGUUAAUUAACUGUUCUUCUGUGUUCAUUAAUCUAUUGAAGUCGUCAUGCUCAGGAGUUCCGGUAAUGUAUUUCAGGACUGUCCCUAGGGCAUUCAGGCUUCUCGCCUGUCUGUGGUGAGCGUUUAUCUUUUGUAUCAGUCGACUUAUCUGGUUUAUGUCCGCGUCUAGUAACUUCCUCAUAUGUGACUGAGGAAAGCGGUCUGUGGCAUUAAUUGUCUCGUCUCUCAGUAAUUCGUAAAGUGUCAAGUUGGUAACAUGCUUGAUGUGUCCUGAAUUCUCCCAAAUUACAAGGUCCUCACCGACCACCGGAAUGUACCUUGCAUUGGUAUAGUCCAGGGAUGGGCACAUUUUUAGCCCGAAAAGUUAGCAAAGUGCGCACGGGGGCUAGAUGAGGGGAAUAUCAGUUUACGGAGAGAAGGGCAUAACAAGUUGAGAAAAAUUGCGAAAAAAAUGAAUUACAUUCCUCCGGAACUUAAUGUUCAUCGCAGAGUGGUUGCGGCAAUACUGACAUUGUACACAAAUUUAAGGGUGGAAGUUUACUUCAUAUCGGAAUUGUACAGUUGUGUGAACAAAAAGGGGUAAACAUAAAUUGCAGAGUUUAGAGUUUCGCAUUAAAAUUUGUUUUUAUUUACCUUUGCAUGGUGGGAAAUUUUAAUCACUGUUAGGAAAAAAUAUAUAUAUGUUAUGUUAUGUAUCUAAAAACAAUUUUAUUUAAUAAGAAAACAGCAUAUUUUAAAACUUCACAACACCUUAUGGUUAUUUCUAUUUUGUUCACACCACUGUACAUGUGAUAGAUCAGUCAAUGGUGGUGAUGCCAGUUGUAAAAAUUCAUUUUAGUUACAAUUGGGAAAACUUUUAUCAAGUUGUGUGUAUUAUAUAUAAUAUAUAUAUAUAUAUAUACUAUGGUCACAAGUAUCGUUUUUUUAUAUAUGCAUAUAUAUAAAACUGCCUUGCAUAUGUACGUAUAAAAGCCCACAACUUGAUAAAAGCUUUCCCAAUUGUAACUAAAAUGAAUAUAUAUAUAUAUAUAAUUUAAUGAAAAUGCUUAUAUAAAUAUAUGUAUAUAUAUAUAUAUUAAUAUUUGUGAUAUUUUCAGUUUGGUUGUUUCAGCAAAAUAUUCAAAGAAUUUAGUUUUUUUUUAUAAUUGUUCUGUUAAAUUUUAAAAAUCUAAGUUGCUUCUGGAAAUGUAUUAAAAUAAUAAUACGCGCUAUAGAAAGGGAACACAUAUUUUCAAAAAUAUAAGAAUCAUCAAAUAAAAAUAUAUUUGCGCGGUAUGACAUUAUUGAUUGAGAGUGGCUAAGCACACAAAUAGAAUACAAACAUUUGUAAACAUGCUGUGGGAAAAUACGUUGCUCUCAUUUGUAAAUAUGGAGUGGUAAAACGUUGCUCUCACUUCCCUCUUCAUGUUUGCCCGCGAUGAUCCCCUCACCUAGCCCUCAAAAUGUGCACUCGUGCCCACACGGGCAAAAUGCCACUGAGGGCUAAUGUGCCCAUCCCUGGUAUAGUCGAUUAACCUUCCUGUCGUUGCCGAUAUUGAUAUGGCCAAAGUUAUGAAAAUCCUAAAAAUAUAUAUGAAACUUUUUGUUAAUUGUUUAUCAUUAGAAACACCUAGGUUCUAGAUUAAGUUUAACGAAGGUUGUCCUUAUGGACCCUCCUCCCUUUUAUUAAAACUGUUGUACCCAAGUCCUUUUCCACCUCUUCCUCAGUAUAAAGAGGCGUAAGCUUAUUGCCUAGUCUCCUGUUAUUUUUAACAAGUACUUUUUCUCCAACAGGGAACUCCCUAUCCUCCCUGUUCUUAUUAUGAUUUGUUAGUUCUCUUUCCUGUGCGUUUCUUAAGCGGCAUGGUAUUUGGUUGUCAUCUUUAAUUGAACGAAAUACGGAAAUACUGUGUGAAUGGACCUGUUAUACUCAAUCGUAGCUAAAAGGACAAUUUCCUCAACAUCAUCAAGAUUUUUGUCAAGUUUAAGGCAUCGUGCUAUUUCCAUUAGUGUGUUAUGGAAUCGCUCCACUUGACCAUUUGAUGUACUAUGUAGUGGUGGAGCAUUCGCAGUGUCGAUAUUGAAGUGAUUCUUUAAUGUAGCUUUGAUGCUGUGUGAAUUCAGCGACUUCUCAUUGUCGCAAUAAACUAUUCGAGUACCGAAAAACAUAUUGAGUAACUGAAGGAGCUGUGGUUUCACAUCUACUAUCGUUCUUGAUUUCAACGACUGUACUAUCGCAAAUUUUGAAAACUUGUCGAUGCACGUCAAGAAGAACUUGGACCCGGUAGAAAAUAUGUCGAUGUGAAGAAUUUCUCCACAAUAUGUUGGUAUGGGCGUUUGAGCAAUAAGCUGCUUCUUUGGGUGCCGAUCAUACUUCGCCGGCGAGCAAGUUCGACAAUUUCCCACAAAUUGUUUAACUUUUUUCUCCAUUUUUGGAAAGAAAUAAUCCUCUAAAAAUUGUUUUGUGUUCUCCUGCGCUGCUCGAUGCGCUCUGUUAUGUUCAGCAGCGAUAAUUUCCUGCUGCUCAUUCGGAUUUGUAAUGUCGUUAAUGAAUUUCUCCGUAUGUCUGAAUUUAACUGUUGGAAACAUUUCGACCAGUUCGUGUUGAAACUGUGCAAGUGCAUGCAGAUCGCAGUGUAUUGCGUUUACUGCUGUUGUGUUUACGGCCUCCUGUAAAAGUUUUAAUAAAUCCUUUUUUUCUCGGUAAGAAAUGAUAUGCCUUGUCUCCUUUCCAAAAAUUAUAAAUUUCUUUGAGGUUCUGUAUCUACCUCCACAAUAAUCUGGUUGCGGAAGCAAUUUACCGGUUUUUCCGAUCUUUCAAUUGUAUGGGUUGAUGAUUCCUCGCUAUGAAUUGUCUCGACGCUCGUGUUAUCUAAAGCAUUUAUAUGUUGCCUAGAUAGAGCGUCUGCCACCACAUUUUCCUUUCCUGGUUUGUAGAUUAGCUUUGCGUUGCAUUCGUCUAUGAAGGCUUUCCAUCUUUUAAUUUUCGAAUUAGGAUUCCUAUCUGUACAAAUGAGCAUCUUCCCCCGGCCUCAACACACACACCAUAUUACCACACCACAUCGAUUAACACUUACAUCACUAACACGCAACAUUCACCACACCACACCACAUCGAUUAACACUUACAUCACUAACACGCAACAUUCACCACACCACAUCACAUCGAUUCAAGCUUACAUCCUACACGAGAGCAGCACACCGACACCUACACACACACGUACAUCGCCCACAGUCAUACCAUCCUAUUCAGCGCCAACGGGGAUAAAGAAGGAUCGAUGAUCAGAUUCAAGUUCAGUUCGUUUGCGACAUAAUCAGCGAUCGGUCGACUCUAUCCGCGCCCUCCCGUUUGUGAAACCAACCACAUAGUUACUUUUCAUUUUUGACAUAAUUCGCUUAAAUAAAGCAUAAACCCCCUUUCAAUUAUUGAGUGCGCUUUUUUUGAAUCUUUUAGUGAAGUGGAAAACCAUUAAAAAAGGUGAGUGCAUUGCUGCUACAUGGUCCUUCGAGCCAUACAGAAAGGCACAGUGGUAAAAAGUUAAAAAAUUAAGUGCAGUGACACAAAAUACGGAAAGUUAAUUGCAGUGACACAAAAUACGAAAUUAAACUUGGUGACAAAAAAAAAAAAAAAAUUCAAGAAAAUAUAUACAUAUAUACACAUAUGUACAAAGCAUUCAGAUAAAGAUCGUGGUACAACAACAAAAAAAAAAAAGUGAAAGUGCAGUCACCUAACCAAAAUAAGCAAAGUGCAGUGAAGAAUAUUCAAGUGCAAAAACAUAAGGAAAAAACGAAACAGUGACAACUAAUACAAACCCCCCCACGUCAAAAACAACACAAUAAUUCAACAUUUUCUAAUGCUACGAACAAAAUAAAAACGGGCGCGAAACUUAAAAAAUCAUUUUAAAUUAAUAUAUGUACAUAUAAUAAAAUUAAAAUUAAAAGAAACAACAACACAGCGGAACAGGAGCGACCAGCGACUCAGCAACAGAACAAACAACGGAAAGCUAAAACCCACCCGAUUCUGCCGAACUGGCAUACAUCCCCCCAAAACCCUUGAUGAAAAUACAAGCGAGUGUAUCCAUUCCUCAUUGAUUUUUAUCAUUUUAUAUAAUCUAUAUAUAUAAAAGAAAGUUGUUGUUAGUUACAUCAUUUAUAACUCAAGAACGGCUUAACCGAUUUGGCUGAAAAUUGGUGGAGAGGUAGCUUAGCUUCUAAAAAAUAAUGCAAUUGCUAAGUAUUUGGAACAGAAGAAAUGAACUGCAACCAAAUACGCAGUGAAGUAGAUUAUAACUGGCUCAGUAAUCAGUCGUUGAUUCCCAAAAGACUGAUGUUAUAACUUUUCCAGCCGACUUUUUGUUUUUCCACGCCUGAGAACCGGUUCAUCAUGUGCAGUCCACUAGAAUGACUGUCGAUUGAACUCCAGUGGGAAAUGAUGGAGCUAUGUUUCUAUUACCCACUUUAUUCCGAUUAGAGAGCACUUAAACACUUCUCAGAAUCAGUUAUUCGUUGUUUUUAUUGGAUUAUGAACUUGCGAGCCGCCUACUUUGUUUAUUUCGCCUGUUUCCAGCUUAGCAAAUGUCUUUUCAGCGGUGGAUUUCCCUGAGCCCAAAUUCAACAGUAUUUUUCCCAAAAAAACAAUGCUUUAUUGACACACGAAAUGUUUUAUGAUCCAUUUUUUGUAAACUAACACAAGUUGCUUCACAAAAAUGCUAUAUCUCAUUAACUAAUAGUUAUAAUCCAACUAAUAGAAAUCAUAUACAUAUA